rnacentral:rRNA from 1 species
GUUGACCUCGGAUCAGGUAGGGAUACCCGCUGAACUUAAGCAUAUCAAAAGGCGGAGAAAA